UACGUAGGGUGCAAGCGUUAAUCGGAAUUACUGGGCGUAAAGCGUGCGCAGGCGGUUAUGCAAGACAGAUGUGAAAUCCCCGGGCUUAACCUGGGAACCGCAUUUGUGACUGCAUAGCUGGAGUACGGCAGAGGGGGAUGGAAUUCCGCGUGUAGCAGUGAAAUGCGUAGAUAUGCGGAGGAACACCGAUGGCGAAGGCAGUCCCCUGGGCCUGUACUGACGUUCAUGCACGAAAGCGUGGGGAGCAAACAGG
rnacentral:rRNA from 1 species